rnacentral:lncRNA from 1 species
GCAGGGCGGCGGAGCGGACGCGGGCGAGGGCGGCGCGGAUGGCGGAGAUCAGGGUCGGGUUGAGGCGGUGCUCUUCGCCGCCCGUUAUGGUUAGCACAUAGACCCGGCCACGCUUCUCCAAGGUGCACAUCUCUCUCUCUAACUCGUCUCUCUCUCUCUGCGAUAUGUAUGUGUGGAGAUGUUCGGGGAAUGCUCCAAUGGUCAUCCGAGUAUUUUAUGCUUUUUCCCGUUAGUGCGUGGACGUAGCUUUGACAUUAUCGGAGAGACGCAGUACAGUGUAUUGAACGUAGCUCUUGCAACUAUGUAUCCGAAUUUAAAUUCCGAAUUUAAUUUGAUAAGUUUGAGGCUACAAUUUUAACUGUAGCACCUAAAAUGAGUAACUUUAAAUAAAAAUAUAAGCCUAUCUUCUUAAUUACUUUUUAAGCUAAGAAUAUAUAUCUUUUACAUUGUAGAUAAUCUCAUUAUUAUUAUAUAUAUAAAGUGAUAAUAUUAUACAAAUAAACUUUUCAACUUCAAACAAUCAAUAAAUUAUAUAUAAUUAUAAUAUUUUUUAUUGUAUCCAUUCAUAUAAAAAAGCAUGUAGCUGUAAUUAUUGCAUCUCCAGCUAUACCAUAUUUUUAAUUAUUUUAAACUAAAUGUUCCCUCAGCUCAGCGCAUCGAUGGAGUACUACUUAGCAAACUUAUUUAUAUAUAUAACAAAUUAAGGAGAAAAUUAUUAAGAAAACACUAAAGUGUGUACUUAAAAAAAGAUUAUAGUUCUACGCCUUUCAAUCUAAGAGUCACUAGGAUUUACUCGAGAAUUUUGGUAGAAUAAAGAAAAAGGCUAAGACAGUAUAAUUACUUCUUAGAUAAUAGAGUGACAGAAGUAGUCAAAAUUAUUUUUUUGUUAUUCGGAUUAAAAUUGAAAGAGAGAAAAGAAAAAAAAAUAGAGAGAAAAUAAUUUUACUUAAAAGAUUAACUCCUUUUCUCUCCAAAAGUAGAAAGAAAUGGGAAGAAAUUUAUUUUUCUCCAUUUUUUUUUAUUUUCUUCGUCCAAAUAAUAAGAAAGAUUUUUUUUUUUCCUCUUUUCUCUCCUAUUCUCGCCUUGGAAGCAAAGCUUUUUUUAUAAUUCUACAAAAAUUUAUCAACAUAUCUACGGAAUAAUUAAUAACGGCAUCAUAUUAGUUAAAGCUAUAUAUAUCACUUUUGUUUCUUUAUUUUCACUUCCCAAGUUCCAGAAAUCGAGAAUAUGGUGGAAGAAAUCAGGUCAAACAAAAAAAUCAAGCAAUCUUAUUAGAUUAGACAAGAAAAGAGUUACAUGAUCUUGUUACCUGACUAGGCAACAGUAUUUAAUUCGGUUAAAGACAAAAAUAGAUAUAAUUUUGAAUGUAGAAUAUUUUUGUUUUGCAAAACAUUAAUAUUAGCAAUCACCUCUUUAAAAAAUUUGACUUGGUUGAAAAACCCGAGUGAAGUACGUACAUCUAUUUGCCUAAUGGAUCAUCUUGUCUGGACGAUUUGAGGUACUUCAAAAGCAAUUUUUGAGAGGUUGGCGUUUACAACGGAUAGAGUAGAUCCUGGUGAUUUCUUUUUAGGGAUGAGCAGAGCAUCCCCCUCUUCUCCCUCAGGAGUCUAGUUCAGGGUUUAGUGCAACUUAGGGGUGUUUGGAUUGGCGAAUCUGUAAAUCCAACGUAACUCAAAUGUAAUGAUGUUUGAGUUUUUCUGAAGUGUUAUUAUUUUUCUGUUGUUUGUUUUGACGUAAAUCGUACAGUUCGAAAGUUAAGUUUAAUUACUUCUUCUAUUUGUUUUGAUAUAACUUGGUGUUGAUGAAAUUAGUUUUUUGAGUUUUAUUAUUUGUUUUGAUAUAAGUAAGUGAAUCCCGUUAUCUCCUAAAUAUAGUGAUAAACUUACCGCUAUAAAAUUUAACUUAUUAUUUGAUUAAAUUUUUUAUUAUUAUUUAAAGAUGAUCCUAAUUUAUAUUUAUUAUAAAUAAGUUUGUUCUAACCCAUUAUAAAGGGAGUAUAAUUUAAGUUUUACUAUUUAAUAAUUUUUUUAGAAAAGAUUGAGUGUGGCGGAAGCCGAAUUCGCCAAUUUAAAGGAGGAAGUCGAAAGUAGGUAAAGUGGAGAUCUACCGUAUCUUGAGUUACCGUAUCUUGAGUUAUAUUAUAUUUUUGAUUUACACCAAAAUAAAUAAUGGAGGUGAUGGAACUUGACUCCACUUACACCAAAACAAACGGACCUUUGAAAAAUUGGAGAUUCAUUUUUUAUUUUUCAUUUUUCAUUUUUUUUUUCUUUUAUGAAGAAAAUCAACUAUAGUUGAAUAGUUUUGUUGUUUUAUGUGCUUGUGAUGUGAAAGAAAUUGGAUUGUAAACAGGGUAUGUUGCUGCUAUUGUUGUAACUUGUAAGUCGACUCUGUAAGCAUGUUAAAUCUGAAUUAGAUGUGUUUUUCCUCCCAGCAGAUAAAGCCUUGAUUGAAUUAACAAAACGCUUGUGAGCUUGUUAUGGUAAGAAGCUUAGAUGAGUUUCAAGGCUAUUCCUGUUGAAAAGUUGCUGGCAGAGGCUUAGUGAGAAAGCCACAGGUCCCAAAGCCAUGCAGGAUAAGAGACUCUUCAUUUGAUUUCUAUCUUCUUGUCAUGCGAAACAAUCAACAUUCGCGAACCAAAGUGUCAGGAGGUAAUUUGCACUCGCAAAAUAGCUUUUUAUUAGAGCCGAACAAUAAAUAAUUUUUUUCGAGACUUUUGUUUUCAACUCUAGAUAAAAGGUUGUCAGAAUUUAUUUGAAAUGGCUUCUGGGCCAUACAAUAACAUACCUUUGCUUCUGACAAUUGAGCUCAGAGCCUCGAACCCGCCGCCCCCUUCUUCUCCUUCUCCUCCUGGUCUUCGUCCCCGUCCCCGCCCCCUUUCUCGGCCACCGCUCUCCACAUCUCCGGGAAAACCCCUUUCCGAGCGGAC